UGACAAUAUCACAUUCAAAUACCGGUUUCCGUGUGAUCCCUGAAGUUUAGCACCGUCGAGCCUGGUCAGUCCCUAGAUGGGUGACCGCUUAGGAAUAACAGGUACUGUAAG